rnacentral:lncRNA from 1 species
GAACCGUUUAUUAAAAGGCAAAUAAAAAGUGAAAAACAAGUGAAGAGGCACCUUGUCUCCCGAUAACCAAACCCGCACCAAAAACAAAAAAAAUAAUAACUCACGCCGCAUUGGCAGAUUUACGUUGCAGUCUGACUUUACACCAGUGCGAGUGCGCACAUAGAAAUACGUUUUCCUCGACGCCAGAAAAGGAAAAGCCGCGCGCAGAUACGGAC